AAUCUCUCUCUCUCUCUCUCUCUCUCGCUCUUCCCUCCCCCUCCCCUCUCUCUUUCUCUAAAUAAAUUCUUAGCCAUGGUUUAUGUUUAGUGAAAAGGUGAAACGAAUAAGAUUAGAGAGGACAAAGGGGAAAAUCUGUAAGUGUAUCAUCGGGGUUUCUCCCUCCUCAGAGUGGGACGGAGCGGACACUGGAAGGGAGGCGGCCUCUCUUCUUGCAACUUGCUUGAAGUAAAGUAAGCACCUGUAACCGGCACGAUCGAGAAUCGUCAAAGAACGCCAGCAGGCAAAAUGCCAGGAUUCGCUGCUUCCCACCUUUACAGGAUACUUCCAACAGUAAUAGACGGACAAUUCACAAUGACCAAUUAACCUCCAAACCAGCAUGUCUAUGGAAUGUUGGAGGAAACUGGAGCACCCAGAGGAAACCUACAUAGUCACGAUUCGCUGGAUGAGGAGACAAGGACGUGGUUUAACUUCCCUGCUCGAAUAAAGAGCAAAGCCAACAGGAGCUGACAAUUACAGAUGGCAAUCACCACAUGGAAGAAGCACACCAGGAAAUGCCACCAUUUUAUCACAGCCCAUUAUUCACUCAUUUUCUGACAGGGCUUGGCUUGUGAUUGACAACCAGACGUCUGCAGAGCAUUCACAGUGGAACAAAGAAGUACAACAGAAUCAAUGAGAAGCCACACAUGAAGACUGACAAAUGACCAACGACUCCAAUCCCGAUGCUGUGAUUUGUGUGAUCGAUAUGGAAUGAUUUCAUCAUAGCACAGGAUCAUUAAAUGGUGACAUCCAAUAUGGCUAUGGGACAAGUUACGUGUCAACCAAAAGUAAUCAUCAUUAGACAGGCAAUUACAGUGAAAUGACUGACAAACAUGCCUCAGGAUUUUCCAAGGUUGAGUGAAGAACCAAUGAGUUGGCAUCUGCUGUGGACCUGGUGCUCAGAAAUACAACGGACCCUUCUAGCCCAAUGACCUGCACCGCUCAGCAAAGCACGUACUUAACCGCCUAAUCACAGGAUAAUUUACAAUGACUAAUUAACCUACUAGAUAGAGGAAGGUCCUUCGUUAUUUUCUGGCCAGGAGAGAUCUUCAACCAUGUCCUAUUCCUUCAAUGUCAUCAAGAGGACAUGGCCACAAUCACCAUGAGGAAACAUUGGAGAUGGAUUGGGCACAUGAUGAGAAGAGAAACCAACUCUAUCAUUAAGACAGCAUCUUAUUGGUACACAUUUUUGUACCGCAUAGCCCUCUACUUUUCUAAGCUCCAUGUCAUUUAUAAAAAUCACAAAGAAGAGGGGGUACCGGAACAGAUCGCUGUGGAACACCACUGGUCACCGUCUUCCAUGCAGAAUAUGACCCGUCUACAACUACUCUUUGCCUUCUGUGGGAAGCCAAUUCUGGAUCCACAAAGCAAGGUCUCCUUGGAUCUCAUGCCUCCUUACUUUCUGAAUGAGCCUUGCAUGGGGAACCUUAUCUGAAAUCCAUAUACAUGACAUCUACUGCUCUACCUUCAUCAAUGUGUUAUGUUACAUUCUCAAAGAAUUCAAUCAGGCUCAUAAGACAUGACCAGCUCUUGACAAAUCUAUACUGAGUAUCCUUAAUCAAAUUAUGUUUCUCCAAAUGCUCAUAAAUCCUGCCUCUCAGGAUCUUUUCCAACAACCUGCCCACUACUGUAGUAAGACUUACUGGUCUAUAAUUUCCUGGGUUAUCUCUACUCACUUUCUUGAACAAGGGAACAACAUUUGCAACCUUCCAAUCUUCUGGUACUCUUCCUGUCCCUACUGAUGAUGCAAAGAUCAUUGCCAGAGGCUCAGCAAUCUCCUUCCUCACUCCCCACAGUAUCUUGGGGUACAUCUCGUUCUGUUCCAAUGACUUAUCCAACUUGAUCCUUUCCAAAAGCUCCAGCACAUCCUCUUUCUUAAUGUCUAUACGCUCAAGUGUUUUAGUCUGCUGUAGGUCAUCCCACAAUUGCCAAGGUCCUUUUCCCUGGUGAAUACUGAAGCAACGUAUUUAUUAAGUACCUCCGCUACCUCCUCCGAUACCAUGCACAUGUCUCCACUCUCACUCCUGAUUGGUCCUAUUCUCACACGGCUUCAGUAUUCAAUCAGGCUCAUAAGACAUGACCAGCUCUUGACAAAUCUAUACUGAGUAUCCUUGGUCUUCAUCCACUUGCUCUUCACAUAUUUGUAGAAUGCCUUAAUGGAAUUUUCCUUCAUCCUACUCGCCAAGGUCUUCUCAUGGCCUCUUCUAGCUCUCCUAAUUUCAUUCUUACGCUCCUUCCUGGCAACCUUGUAAUUUUUUAGAGUUCUAACAGUACCUAGUUUGUUGAACCUUUUGUAAGCUUUUCUUUCUUCUUAACUAGAUUUUCUACAUCCUGUGUACACCAAUGGUUCUUUAACCCUACCAUCCUUUCCCUGCCUCAAAGGAACAUACCUUUGCAGAACUCCAUGCAAAUGUUCCCUGAAGAUUUGACAUAUCUCUGCCAUGCAUUUCCCUGAGAAUAAUCAGCUCCCAAUUUAUGCUCCCAAGUUCCUGCUUAAUAGCAUAAUAUUUCCCCGUACCCCAAUUAAAUGUUUUCCCAAAUUGUCUGUUCCUAUCCCUCUCCAGUGCCAUGAUGAAGGAGGUAGAGUUGUGAUUACUAUCUCCAAAAUGCUCUCCCACCGAGAGACCUGACACCUGACCAGGUUCAUUUCCCAAUACCAGAUCAAGUACAGCCUCUCUUCUAGUUGGCUUAUCUACAUAUUGUGUCAGGAAACCUUCCUGAACUCACUUAACAAACUCCACCCCAUCCAAACCCCUUGCUCUAAGGAGAUGCCAGUUAAUAAUAGGAAAGUUAAUAUCAGGAAAGUUAAUAUCACCUAUCACAACUACCCUAUUAUUACUGCACCAUUCCAGAAUCUGCCUCCCUAUCUGCUUCUUGAUGUCCCUGUUACUAUUGGGGGGCGGUGGGGGGGGGAUGUCUAUAAAAACACCAAGAAGAAUUAUUGCUCCCUUCCUGUUUCUGACUUCCACCCACAGUGACUCAGUAGACAGUCCCUCCAUGACUUUCUCCUUCUCUGCAGCCGUGACACUAUCCCUGAUUAGCAGUGUCAUGCCCCUCCUCUUUUGCCUCCCUCCCUGUCUUUUUUGAAACAUCUGAAGCCCAGCAUACUCAGGAGCCAUUCCUGCCUCUGAGAAUUCCAAGUCUCUUAAACCAUCUAGUUGAUUACAACUUUACUCUAUCAUCUGCCUAUCCUUCCUCACAAUCUCCCUACAAACUGUCUCCACUUGUGCACAAACCACCCCAUCCUCUGUCUCUUCACUUCGGUUCCCACCCCCCUGCAAAUCUAGUUUAAACUCUCCCCAAUAGGAUUAGUAAACCUCCCUCCCAGGAUAUUGGCUCCCCUCCAUUUCAGGUACGACCUGUCCCACUUGUACAGGUCACCCCUUCCCUAGAAAAGUUUCCAAUGAUCCAAGAACUUAAAACCCUGCCCCCUGCACCAUCUCCUCAGCCACUCAUUCGUCUGUGCUAUUUUCCUGUUCUGACUAUCUUUAGCUCGUGGCACUGGGAGUAAACCGGAGAGUACCACUUUGGAGGUCCUGCUUUUCUUGCCUCCUUGGACCUCUGAAUGGUGGUGAAAACAUGAGAGAUCAAAGACAACUUGGUGCUGUAUCACAGAGGCAGAAAUAUGGACCCUGAACCACAAUAGAGAAUAUGGCCAAGGACAGACAGAGAUGGAGAACCUUCAUUGCUCCCCUCCAUGUAAUGGGCAGUAAGUCACUAACCUUCUAACUAGUUCGAGUGUGGGAGGGAAUUGGAGUUCCCGCAGGAAUCCCAGCACUGGAAUUAAAUUCCAAACUCCAGAAUGCCCUGAUUUGUAACAGCACCAUACUAACUGUUACACUACUGUAACACGACUGUAACAGCACUGUACUAACUGUUACACUACUGUAGCACAACUGUAACAGAACCGUACUAACUGUUACACUACUGUAACAUGACUGUAACAGCACCGUACUAACCGUUACACUACUGUGACGACUGUAACAGCACCAUACUGUUACUCUACUGUAACAUGACUGUAACAGCACCAUACUGUUACACUACUGUGACAUGACUGUAAUAGCACUGUACUGUUACACUACUGUGACAUGACUGUAACAGCACCGUACUAACUGUUACACUACUGUAACAUGACUGUAACAGCACUGUACUAAUUGUUACACAACUGGCAGACUGUGGUUCUUACCUUGGAACCAAUACACUGACACUGAAAUUGUUUGAUAUUAAUCACAAACCUACCUUGAAGAAAAUGAACUUGAGCCAAAAUGUACUUAUUUUUGUAAAGAUUUAAAA